rfam:Anopheles epiroticus strain epiroticus2 unplaced genomic scaffold supercont1.9, whole genome shotgun sequence.
AACCGGCCUCAAUUCCGUAGUGCAUUGCAGUGUAGAACGUUACAAGCACGACUGCAAGCAUUGUGGGAGUGAAGUCGUCCGC